GACGAACGCUGGCGGCGUGCUUAACACAUGCAAGUCGAACGGAAAGGCCCUGCUUGCAGGGUACUCGAGUGGCGAACGGGUGAGUAACACGUGGGUGAUCUGCCCUGCACUUCGGGAUAAGCCUGGUAAACUGGGUCUAAUACCGGAUAGGAGCCAUUUUUAGUGUGAUGGUUGGAAAGUUUUUUCGGUGUAGGAUGAGCUCGCGGCCUAUCAGCUUGUUGGUGGGGUAAUGGCCUACCAAGGCGGCUACGGGUAGCCGGCCUGAGAGGGUGGACGGCCACAUUGGGACUGAGAUACGGCACAGACUCCUACGGGAGGCAGCAGUGGGGAAUAUUGCACAAUGGGCGCAAGCCUGAUGAAGCGACGCCGCGUGGGGGAUGACGGCCUUCGGGUUGUAAACUACUUUCGCUAGGGACGAAGCUUUUUGUGACGGUACCUAGAUAAGAAGCACCGGCUAACUACGUG
rnacentral:rRNA from 1 species